ensembl:rRNA 5S_rRNA 5S ribosomal RNA
AUCUAUGGCCAUACCACCCUGAAGGCACCCAGUUUCAUCUGAUCUCCUUAAAGCUAAGCAGGGUUGGGCCUGGUUAGUACUUGGAUGGAAGAAUUUCAAGAGCCAAAACCU